rnacentral:rRNA from 1 species
AUUGAACGCUGGCGGCAUGCCUAACACAUGCAAGUCGAACGAGUGGCGGACGGGUGAGUAAUAUAUGGGAAACUGCCCGAUGGAGGGGGAUAACUAAGGGAAACGGUGGCUAAUACCGCAUACCAUGGGCUGGGCCACGAGGUGAUUAGCUAGUAGGUGGGGUAAAGGCUCACCAAGGCGACGAUCCCUAGCUGGUAGUCGAGGAUGACCAGCCACACUGGAACUGAGACACGGUCCAGACGACUACGGGAGGCAGCAGGGGGGAAUAUUGGACAAUGGGCGAAACCCUGAGCCAGCCAUGCCGCGGGUGUGAUGAAGGCCUUCGGGUUGUAAAGCACUUUUGGCGGAGAGGCGUUAUCCGCAGAAUAAGCACCGGCUAACUACGUGCCAGCAGCCGCGGUAAUUC